rnacentral:rRNA from 1 species
CACGUAGUUAGCCGUGGCUUAUUCGUCAGGUACCGUCACUUGCUUCGUCCCUGACAAAAGAAGUUUACAACCCGAAAGCCUUCUUCCUUCACGCGGCGUUGCUGGGUCAGGCUUGCGCCCAUUGCCCAAUAUUCCCCACUGCUGCCUCCCGUAGGAGUCUGGGCCGUGUCUCAGUCCCAAUGUGGCCGGCCAACCUCUCAGUCCGGCUACUGAUCGUCGCCUUGGUGGGCCGUUACCCCGCCAACUAGCUAAUCAGACGCGAGCUCAUCUCAGAGCGAUAAAUCUUUGACAGCCAGGGAGAUGCCUCCCAGCUGUAUCAUGCGGUAUUAGCGGCUGUUUCCAGCCGUUAUUCCCCACUCCAAGGCAGAUUGCUCACGCGUUACUCACCCGUCCGCCACUUUCCCCACCUUCACUUGGACGAAUCCUCGAUCCAAUGGUUCUCGUUCGACUUGCAUGUGUUAAGCACGCCGCCAGCGUUCAUCCUGAGCCAGGAUA